rnacentral:rRNA from 1 species
GACGAACGCUGGCGGCGUGCCUAAUACAUGCAAGUGGGACGCAAGGGAACACACUGUGCUUGCACACCGUGUUUUCUUGAGUCGCGAACGGGUGAGUAACGCGUAGGUAACCUGCCUAUUAGCGGGGGAUAACUAUUGGAAACGAUAGCUAAUACCGCAUAAUAUUAAUUAUUGCAUGAUAAUUGAUUGAAAGAUGCAAGCGCAUCACUAGUAGAUGGACCUGCGUUGUAUUAGCUAGUUGGUAAGGUAAGAGCUUACCAAGGCGACGAUACAUAGCCGACCUGAGAGGGUGAUCGGCCACACUGGGACUGAGACACGGCCCAGACUCCUACGGGAGGCAGCAGUAGGGAAUCUUCGGCAAUGGACGAAAGUCUGACCGAGCAACGCCGCGUGAGUGAAGAAGGUUUUCGGAUCGUAAAGCUCUGUUGUAAGUCAAGAACGUGUGUGAGAGUGGAAAGUUCACACAGUGACGGUAGCUUACCAGAAAGGGCGGCUA